rnacentral:lncRNA from 1 species
AAACAUAUUUUAUACGGUGAAAAAGUAUGAUAUAUAUUGUUGCCAGUAUUCUCAUCUAAGUGGAAAAAUAAGUUAGGCCGAAUCACGUCAGAAAUAACAAGAAAAUCGAAUUGGAUCAAAUCAUAUUCGAAGCGAUGAGAGGUCGUUUAGACCAAGUCACAAAUUGAUAUUUGUGAAGUUAUGUGUCCGUACUCUUUAAGUGCAUUGAUUUAGUACUAAUAAUUCUAUAAAUAUGAAUUAGAUAAACUAUUUGUUUCUAUAAAUAUAUUAACAUAAUAUUGUGAUUGUAUAUAUUUGGUAAAAGUAUAAUUUUUAUGGU